GAUGAAGAACGCAGCGAAACGCGAUAAGUAAUGUGAAUUGCAGAAUCCAGUGAAUCAUCGAAUCUUUGAACGCACAUUGCGCCCGCCAGCAUUCUGGCGGGCAUGCCUGUUCGAGCGUCAUUUCAACCCUCGACCUCCCCUUGGGGAGGUCGGCGUUGGGGACCGGCAGCACACCGCCGGCCCUGAAAUGGAGUGGCGGCCCGUCCGCGGCGACCUCUGCGCAGUAAUACAGCUCGCACCGGGACCCCGACGCGGCCACGCCGUAAAACGCCCAACUUCUGAACGUUGACCUCGAAUCAGGUAGGACUACCCGCUGAACUUAAGCAUAUCAAUAAGCGGAGGA
rnacentral:misc_RNA from 1 species